rnacentral:rRNA from 1 species
AUGAACGCUGGCGGCGUGCCUAAUACAUGCAAGUCGCGCGAACGGACGAGAAGCUUGCUUCUCUGAUGUUAGCGGCGGACGGGUGAGUAACACGUGGAUAACCUACCUAUAAGACUGGGAUAACUUCGGGGAACCGGAGCUAAUACCGGAUAAUAUUUUGAACCGCAUGGUUCAAAAGUGAAAGACGGUCUUGCUGUCACUUAUAGAUGGAUCCGCGCUGCAUUAGCUAGUUGGUAAGGUAACGGCUUACCAAGGCAACGAUGCAUAGCCGACCUGAGAGGGUGAUCGGCCACACUGGAACUGAGACACGGUCCAGACUCCUACGGGAGGCAGCAGUAGGGAAUCUUCCGCAAUGGGCGAAAGCCUGACGGAGCAACGCCGCGUGAGUGAUGAAGGUCUUCGGAUCGUAAAACUCUGUUAUUAGGGAAGAACAUAUGUGUAAGUAACUGUGCACAUCUUGACGGUACCUAAUCAGAAAGCCACGGCUAACUACGUG